UUACAGGAAUGCAAUAUUACUGGAUGAAAUAAUUAUACUGAUCCUAGCCUUAUUUUAAAAGGGUCCCCAGAAUGCCCUUCUCCAAGACUUAGAAAAAUCAAAUGCUAUCCAUCCCUCAAGAUACAUUCCUCCAGCCCCUCCUUGAAGUCUCCUGCAGCUAGAAGUAGCAUCUAACCCCACCUGGACUGCUUAGCACUUUGCUGUACCUCCCUUAGUCCCCAUCUCUUUACACACACAAACACACACACAC
rnacentral:lncRNA from 1 species